GCUGGGUAUGGUGGCGUGCAUCUGUAGUCCCAGCUACUGAGGAGGCUGAGGCAGGAGAAUUGCUUGAACCCAGGAGGCAGAGGUUGCAGUGAGCUGAGAUCGCGCCACUGCACUCCAUCCUGGGCGACAAAGCAAUACUCUGUCUCUC
rnacentral:SRP_RNA from 2 species